rnacentral:lncRNA from 1 species
GAAAGUUCAACGUUGGGAAGCUGAAAAUACCAAACAUAAGAGAAGAAUUUCAAAUAUCUCUUCAAAAUAGAUUCUCAGCUAUAAGUGACCUGGAUAUAGAGGAGAAUGAUAUUAACAACACAUGGGAGCAGACAAAAAAUGUAAUACUAGAAACAUGCGAGGAAACAUUAGGAUACAUGCAGUAUAAACGCAAAAACUGGAUGUCAGAUAAUACAUGGGUUAAGGUUGAAGAACGGAGAAAAGCCAAAGAAAAAGUCUUAAAUGCCACCACAAGACAACAAAAAAGACAAACACAAGACCUUUAUAGAGAGAAAGACAAAGAAGUGAAGAAGAACUGUAAACAGGAUAAAAGAGACUAUGUUGAACAACUAGCACAAGAAGCAGAAAUUGCAUGUAGCAAAGGAGACAUAAAAUCUCUCUACAACACAACAAAACAACUAAGUGGCAGAAGAUCCAACUCAAGUGCUACAGUCUAAGAUAAAAAUGGCAAUGUGAUAACAAAAAUUGAAGAUCAAUUAAAACGAUGGAAAGAUCAUUUUGAGAAGUGCUGAACAGACCCUCUCCAACAGACCCACCUACCAUCGAAGGGAGACAGGUCAUAAUAUCAAGACAGGAGAUAUAACUAAAACAGAG